UUGUAUGGGCAUUCUGUUGCUGUUUUACUUCCUCAGUCAGAACCACGCAGAAUUACUGAGAUUAAGUUAGGGCUUCUCAGCGGCUCCUUUGGUCACUAGAAGUGUCCUUCUAGAAUGACCCCAGGUCUUUCAUGUUUUGUGGCAUCCACCCAGCACUUUUAGAUUACGUAAGUGCCUACAGAAGGCUCUUGGUUGGUGCUUCUCAAAAGAAAUAAUUGUUUAUUUUUUUUCAGUUUUGCUCUGUAGAAUCUAAUGCUGCUGGAGGAAUUUGUUACUUUUCCUAUUGUGGGUCCUCUUAAGGAGCAACUUAAAACAAAACUACGUGCUGAAAGAAGCAUGUACAACUCCAGGAUGUUCUUCAUCCCUUCCAAGUGCUGACACUGCCAGAUGUUAAAAUCGCUGCCAGUCUGAGAAGGGAAGAGAGUACAGAGGGGAAGAAAGCACAGAGAGGGCCCAUAUACCUUUCAUCUAAUUUCCCACAAUGGUGUUGCAUUUUAUGUAAAUGAAGUACUCAGUCAAAACCUGGAAAUCAAAGUCCAAUGUCAUCAUGUAAAUCUUUAAAAGUAGAAGACAAAGGAGAAGUGUAGGCCAGUGAGACAAGAUGACAGGAGAAAAGGCAGAAGAGAUACGUGGAAGAAGUGAGAAGUAUGGUACUGGCGAGCCUUCUCUUGGGCACCCAGACAACUCACCAGCUGCUGCAGUUGCUGCACUCAGGGAUGCGUCCACUGCUCUGUUCCACUGGUGCAUUUCUACAUGGACUGGGCUCGCCAGUAGUUGCCCUGCGUCUGCUGGUUCAACCCACCACUCCCACGCCAGGAGUCUGGGCUCUGAGAAAGAGUGCUGCUCGUUGCCUCCCUCCUCUUUGUUGAAAUUUCUCUCUUCACUCUCCCCAUGGAUUUCAACUCUCGCCUCAGAUUCUUCUUGGGUACCCGGGAGUCCACUUCCCUCCUUCUUGACCUCAUGCCACUAUAUUCCAGUGUCAGGACACCAAAUCUUGGAGAGACUCUUUGUUGCUUACCACUCCGCCAUCGUCCUGGAAGUCUCUGUCUUCUUUUUCUUUAACCUAUGUUGUAAAAUUUUAAUUGAGUUUCUUUUUGACAGUAUAUAAUUGAGGCAUGUUUAAAAACUAC